GAUGAACGCUGGCGGCGUGCCUAAUACAUGCAAGUCGAGCGAACAGAUGAGGAGCUUGCUCCUCUGACGUUAGCGGCGGACGGGUGAGUAACACGUGGAUAACCUACCUAUAAGACUGGGAUAACUUCGGGAAACCGGAGCUAAUACCGGAUAAUAUAUUGAACCGCAUGGUUCAAUAGUGAAAGACGGUUUUGCUGUCACUUAUAGAUGGAUCCGCGCCGCAUUAGCUAGUUGGUAAGGUAACGGCUUACCAAGGCAACGAUGCGUAGCCGACCUGAGAGGGUGAUCGGCCACACUGGAACUGAGUCACGGUCCAGACUCCUACGGGAGGCAGCAGUAGGGAAUCUUCCGCAAUGGGCGAAAGCCUGACGGAGCAACGCCGCGUGAGUGAUGAAGGUCUUCGGAUCGUAAAACUCUGUUAUUAGGGAAGAACAAAUGUGUAAGUAACUAUGCACGUCUUGACGGUACCUAAUCAGAAAGCCACGGCUAACUACGUG
rnacentral:rRNA from 1 species